rnacentral:tRNA from 1 species
GCGGGCGUGGCGAAAUCGGUAGACGCACCGGACUUAAAAUCCGUCGGGCCUGGCCCAUGGGGGUUCAAGUCCCCCCGCCCGCACCA